rnacentral:rRNA from 1 species
GACGAACGCUGGCGGCGUGCUUAACACAUGCAAGUCGAACGGAAAGGCCCUGCUUUUGUGGGGUGCUCGAUUGGCGAACGCGGGAGUAACACGUGAGUAACCUGCCCUUGACUUUGUGGUAACUUCACGGAACUGGGGCUCAUACCGGGUAUGAUCUCCUGCUGCACGGUGGUGGUUGGAGAGUUUCGGCGGUUUGGGAUGGACUCGCGGCUUAUCAGCUUGUUGGGGGGGUAGUGGCUUUCCAAGCCUUUGACGGGUAGCCGGCAUGAGAGGGUGACCGGCCACAUUGGUACUGAGAGACGCCCCAGAAGCCUACGGGAGGCAGCAGGGGGAAGUAUUGCGCAAUGGGCGGAAGCGUGAGGCAGAAGCGCCGCGUGCGGAAUGACGGCCUUCGGGUUAUAAACAGCUUUCGAAGGUGACGUAGAGUGCGUGACGGUAAUGGGUAAAGAAGCACCGGCUAACUACGUG